CGCCAGAUUUAAGAAAUUGCAGGAACAGUAAACGUUUGCUUGUAAAAUACCGGAAUAAUUUAGAGCAAGCACAGACAGACAUCCAUCCAAGAGAGCAAAGCCCCGGAAGCGAAGGUUCAUCUGACAUAAGUCACCCAACAGGAAGCACGCAAUAUGGAGCUAGAUCUGGUAGAAGUCAUCAUGCUGGAGGGAUUCCAUCACAUUUGCUUCUGCGACAAUUGCUCCUCUAUGAAUUCCACACAUCCGACAAAAGACUAAUUUAAACCCUGGAUUUGACAGUACAUGUAUAUGCUACCCUAAUCCUAACAUGAAACCUAAUUGUAAUCCUAAUCCUAACCCUACAUCAUAGACAAAAAUAAAGCUUGGAGCAAUUGUCGCAGGAGCAUAUGUUGUGUCAACAAUGGAUGAUGGAUCUACAAGCAAGGGUCAAAGGUCAAGAAAAUGCCCUGAAUUAUGCCACAAGAUCCAUUGAUCUCUUUUGAUGAACGCACAGCUACCAGAUUGCAAGGAUGGCAACGUCACAUCGUUCUCGAGGCGACGGAUGAUGACAGAUGCUAUCUUCUAUCAACAAGAAGCUGCAUCAGAUGACAAGGAUUACUAAGAAGCUGCUCUACCUCUGCUGUUCCCUACCAAGAAAAUGUAACUUCCAGUAUUUGGUUCAAGGCCAGAAGUGCAGUAUAUUAUAUAGUUGCUGUGUGACUUUCUUGAUAAUGGCUUCUUUCACGGCAUCGGCAAGGACUUUUAGAACUUCAGGACAUCCCAUGAAGAGGAUCAGAUCAUGAGUGUCAACAAUGAAAUUCAACUGAAUAUGGUUUCAAAUGAAAGCAAGCAGAGUGCUAUCCAUGACAUCAUUACCCUAAAGGGUGGCCGAAAAGGAAGCAUGGAACAUGGAGCUAGAUAGCAAAGAAGUCAUCGUCAUGAUGGAGGAUGAACUCAGCAAACUUGGGUCAAAGGUCAAGAAACUGCCUAUCGAUAUGCCACCAUGAGUGUGAUGUCACUCAGUGUACAACAUGGAUCCACCACCUAUCUGGUGCUAACCAUCUUUGUAGCAGAAAUUAGAGAGAUAGUCUAGCAGAGACAAGGAGAUGACACCAAUCUUCAAGUCUUCAUCUACACGGAAUGCCUGGUGUGAACAGUUAUUGGUCUUUGCGUGAAGUAUGGUCAACAUAAGAAUGGCUUUGACACCAAACUCUUCAUAUUCACCUUCCAUCUUGUUAGAGAUAGUUUAAAGGGAUUUGCUAUCGACUCCAGUCAUUAUCUACACUCAGUGUCUGGUGUUAGCCCUAUUCUAACUGGGCUUUUUCAGAUUAAGUUUUUAUUGGUACAUGUAGAGUGUAGAUGAUGUUUGCUGUUAUGUGUUUUGCUAUGUGAAUCAUUACUUCCAUGAAUAUCUAGAAUAUGAUUAAACCUUUGUAGGUAAUUUGGAAGGGGGGUGCCAUCAGACUGAAUUAAGUAAUUAUUUCAAUUAUUGAAGUCAUUUUUGGGAUCAAAUAUGUGUCUUGCAUAUAUGCAUUCACUACUGAUGAACCCAUUUUAGUAUUUUGAUAUGUAUUUACAUAUGUAUUUACAAUAACUUUUGUGUAGCUCUAAGGAGCAGGUCCAAGUUAUUAUUCUUUGCUCCUAGUUCAGAGAUAGUAUUAGGAUAUAUACUUUACACCUUUAUUUCAAUGAAGUUUUUAUUUGUGUUUAUAUUGAGCUGACUUAUUUGCAAAAGUGGAUCCAAAGGUUUCCCCCAGUGAGUUUUAUCUGUAGCUUUUCACCCUGGAUCUACUUGCCGUAGAAGUAGUUAGGAUGGGGGAGGGGAGUGGAUAGGGUUGGGCAGACUAUUCUGCAAAAGUGGAUCCAAAGGUUUUCCAGAGUUUUUCCCUAUUGAGUUUUAUCUCUGGUUUUUUACCCUGGAUCUACUUGUCGUAGAACUAGUCGGGGGAGUGGGGGGGGGGUGGAUGUCUUAAAUAUCAUUUUUAGAGAAUAAAAAAUGUCAUUACCUGUGUUUAUUGUACCCUAUGGGUAGACAUUGUACCCUAUGGGUAGAAUAUGAGAUUAACAUCAAUUUACAAACUAAUAGAAAAAAGUAAACUGUUCCUCAUCAAAGAGCCAAUUUUCAAACCAUUCAUAUGCAAAACACUGGAUGCAGUGAUGCCUUCGUACCAAAGCUUGUAUAACAUUAGGUGAAUUAAGCUUUGUUUACAUUGUAGGUUAGGAAAUCUGUAUUGGUUAUUGAGUCACAUAUUGGUUAAAUUAAUUUAUAUUGGCAUUAUGCAGAGUUGCCACCUUGAACUGAUUUGCACUAACUAGUACUAAAAAAUGAGAAUAAUGGUUUCAUGCAAAAACUACUAAGUUUAUUUUAAUGUGUUAUCCUAUUGUAUUUAUUUGGAAAUACAGAUUUCCUCACCAAAUACUGGUUGUCAGCUUUCAAAAUACUGAAAUAUUCUUGUCCAGGUUGGCAGCUCUGAUUAUAAAGUCAGUUUUACAGUGCCUGACAAAAUAAUUUUUACACACUGUAGGGGGAAUUAAUGCUUGAAUACACAUUAAAAUGAGGGUAAUUAAUGAUUGGAUAUACACAACAAUAUUUUGGGAAUUUUUGUUUGGGAAUAAUAUUUUUACCUCCAUUCACUUUAAUUGGUUUCUGGAGGUGUUAAGUUUUCGGGUUGCCUGUCUGUUCUGUUCUAUACUUGCAAUAACUGAAGAUUCGUGAUAAUUGAAAAAUUGUAUGAGAGAUCAACUGCCAAAUUGGUUGAUUUAUGUAUAUUGAAAGGGCAAUAAUCUGACAAGAUUUUGGAUCUGGUAGUCAAAGUUCACAGAGGUCAUCAUGUACCUGAAAAUAUUUUUUUCUCAUUUAAUGGUCAAACAUUACUUGUGUACAUGUAUGCAUACAUGGGAGUGACAAUGAUCUGAAUAGAUUUUAGGGUCAUGAGGUUCAAAGGUCACACAGGUCAUUAUGAACAGUAAUAUCUCAUUCUUGCGAUAACUAUUAAACGUUGGGGUCAUGAGAACAAACUAUGUAGAUCAUUUUAUACAUUGUUCUCGCUUUCUGAUGAAAUAUUUGAGUACAUCUUCAAUGUAGGCUCAUGCACAGAUAUGUGAGAGGAUCUUAAUCAGAUUUUAGGGUCAUAAGUUCAGGGGCCAUAUGUCACAGGGGUCGUUAAUUUAAAAUAUUAGAAGUUGGAUGUAUAUUCUCGAUCUGGCAAUGGCAGUGGCAUGAAUUUUUAAGGGGUGUAUUUAUCUGUUUCAAAUUUUGCAAAGUCCCACUAAUAUAUAUUCAUGAUUGCAGUCAUGUGUUCCAGUACGGGGGGGG
rnacentral:lncRNA from 1 species